AUUGAACGCUGGCGGCAUGCCUAACACAUGCAAGUCGAACGGUAACGCGGGGGCAACCCUGGCGACGAGUGGCGGACGGGUGAGUAAUACGUAGGAAUCUGCCCAUUUGUGGGGGAUAACCCGGCGAAAGCCGGGCUAAUACCGCAUACGCUCUACGGAGGAAAGCGGGGGAUCGUAAGACCUCGCGCUAAUGGAUGAGCCUACGUCGGAUUAGCUAGUUGGUAGGGUAACGGCCACCAAGGCUGCGAUCCGUAGCUGGUCCGAGAGGAUGAUCAGCCACACUGGGACUUAGACACGGCCCAGACUCCUACGGGAGGCAGCAGUGGGGAAUAUUGGACAAUGGGGGCGAACCCUGAUCCAGCAAUGCCGCGUGAGUGAUGAAGGCCUUAGGGUUGUAAAGCUCUUUUGCCAGGGACGAUGAAGACGGUACCUGGAGAAUAAGCCCCGGCUAACUUCGUGCCAGCAGCCGCGGUAAUACGAAGGGGGCGAGCGUGUUCGGAGUUACUGGGCGUAAGGGC
rnacentral:rRNA from 1 species